GUGGGGAAUCUUGCGCAAUGGGCGAAAGCCUGACGCAGCAACGCCGCGUGCGGGAUGACGGCCUUCAAGGUUGUAAACCGCUUUCAGCAGGGACGAAAAUGACGGUACCUGCAGAAGAAGCCCCGGCUAACUACGUGCCAGCAGCCGCGGUAAUACGUAGGGGGCAAGCGUUGUCCGGAUUCAUUGGGCGUAAAGAGCUCGUAGGCGGUUCAGUAAGUCGGGUGUGAAAGCUCCGAGCUCAACUCGGAGAGGCCACCCGAUACUGCUGUGACUUGAGUACAGUAGGGGAGCGUGGAAUUCCUGGUGUAGCGGUGAAAUGCGCAGAUAUCAGGAGGAACACCAGCGGCGAAGGCGGCGCUCUGGGCUGUAACUGACGCUCAGGCACGAAAGCGUGGGGAGCAAACAGGAUUAGAAACCCCAGUAGUCC
rnacentral:rRNA from 1 species